rnacentral:rRNA from 1 species
GAUGAACGCUGACAGAAUGCUUAACACAUGCAAGUCUUUGGCGAAGCUGUGCUUGCACAGCCUAGCCAAGGCGGACGGGUGAGUAACGCGUAAGGAACUUGCCCGGCAGUCAGGGAUAACAGACGGAAACGACUGAUAAGACCUGGUAAAGUCAGGCGGACUCAUGUCCAGCCUGAUGAAAAGAGAUGCUGCAGGAGAGCCUUGCGUCCUAUUAGCUUGUUGGUGGGGUAACGGCCCACCAAGGCGAUGAUAGGUAGCCGGCCUGAGAGGGUGGACGGCCACAAGGGGAAUGAGAUGCGGCCCUUACUCCUACGGGAGGCAGCAGUGGAGAAUAUUGGACCAUGGGGGCGACCCUGAUCAAGGAAUUCUGUGUGCACGAUGAAGGUUUUCGGAUUGUAAAGUGCUUUCAGCAGGGAAGAAAAAAAUGACGUUACCUGCAGAAGAAGCGACGGCUAACUACGUG